AGAGUAAAUGGUGGAUGCCUUGGCAGACAUAGGCGAUGAAAGACGUGCAAGACUGCGAUAAGUCUCGGGGAGUUGUCAAGAAACUUUGAUCCGGGAAUUUCUGAAUGGGGCAACCCAAUACAUAGUAAUAUGUAUUACCUAUUAUGGAGCGAACUUUGGGAACUGAAACAUCUCAGUACCAAAAGGAAAAGAAAUCAAAAGAGAUUAUGCUAGUAGCGGCGAGCGAACGCAUAACAGGGCAAACCGUCGGUUUACCGACGGGGUUGUAGGACUGCAAUAUAGACUAAAAAUUAGAUAGUAAAAUAAUCUGGAAAGAUUGAGCAUAGAGGGUGAUACUCCCGUAUAUUAAAUCAAUUUUUUACUUAGCAGUAUCCUGAGUAGGGCGAGGCACGUGAAACCUUGUCUGAAGCUGGGAAGACCACUUUCCAACCCUAAAUACUAAUGUCUGACCGAUAGCGUACAAGUACCGUGAGGGAAAGGUGAAAAGAACCGAGGUGAUCGGAGUGAAAUAGAACCUGAAACCAUUUACUUACAAUCAUUCAGAGCCCUAUGAUUUAUCAGGGUGAUGGACUGCCUUUUGCAUAAUGAGCCUGCGAGUUGUGGUGUCUGGCGAGGUUAAGGAAACCCGGAGCCGUAGCGAAAGCGAGUCUUAAUAGGGCGUUUAGUCAGAUGCUGCAGACCCGAAACGAUGUGAUCUAUCCAUGAGCAGGUUGAAACCGGUGUAAGAGCCGGUGGAGGACCGAACCCGCUAGCGUUGAAAAGCUAUGGGAUGACUUGUGGAUAGGGGUGAAAGGCCAAUCAAACAUCGUGAUAGCUGGUUCUCUCCGAAAUAUAUUUAGGUAUAGCGUCAUGUAGUAACACUAGGGGGUAGAGCACUGAAUGGGCUAGGGCAUACACCAAUGUACCAAACCCUAUCAAACUCCGAAUACCUAGUGUGUAAUCAUGGCAGUCAGGCGGCGAGUGAUAAAAUCCGUCGUCGAGAGGGGAACAACCCAGACUAACAGCUAAGGUCCCUAAAUCUCAUUUAAGUGGAAAACGAUGUGGAGUUACUUAAACAACCAGGAGGUUGGCUUAGAAGCAGCCAUCCUUUAAAGAAAGCGUAAUAGCUCACUGGUCUAGUGAUUCUGCGCGGAAAAUAUAACGGGGCUAAAAUGAGUACCGAAGCUUUAGACUUAGUUUUACUAAGUGGUAGGAGAGCGUUGCAUUCAGCGUCGAAGGUGUACCGGUAAGGAGCGCUGGAGCGAAUGCAAGUGAGCAUGCAGGCAUGAGUAGCGAUAAUUGGGGUGAGAAUCCCCAACGCCGUAAACCCAAGGUUUCCUACGCGAUGCUCGUCAUCGUAGGGUUAGCCGGGUCCUAAGCAAAGUCCGAAAGGGGUAUGCGAUGGAAAAUUGGUUAAUAUUCCAAUGCCAACUAUAAUGUGCGAUGGAAGGACGCUUAGAGUUAGAGGAGCCAGCGGAUGGUAGUGCUGGUCGAAAGGUGUAGGUUAAGAUCCAGGCAAAUCCGGAUCUUUUUAAGCCCAGACCCCACAGGCACACAAAGUUCUUCGGAACAGCGUGUGAAUCCUUGAUACUGUCGAGCCAAGAAAAGUUUCUAAGUUUAGUUAUAGUUGCCCGUACCGUAAACCGACACAGGUGGGUGGGAUGAGUAUUCUAAGGCGCGUGGAAGAACUCUCUUCAAGGAACUCUGCAAAAUAGCACCGUAUCUUCGGUAUAAGGUGUGCCUAACUUUGUGAAGGAUUUACUCCGUAAGCAUUGAAGGUUACAACAAAGAGUCCCUCCCGACUGUUUACCAAAAACACAGCACUCUGCUAACUCGUAAGAGGAUGUAUAGGGUGUGACGCCUGCCCGGUGCUCGAAGGUUAAUUGAUGACGUUAGCUCUGCGAAGCGUUUGAUCGAAGCCCGAGUAAACGGCGGCCGUAACUAUAACGGUCCUAAGGUAGCGAAAUUCCUUGUCGAUUAAAUAUCGACCUGCAUGAAUGGCGUAACGAGAUGGGAGCUGUCUCGAAGAGGGAUCCAGUGAAAUUGUAGUGGAGGUGAAAAUUCCUCCUACCCGCGGCAAGACGGAAAGACCCCGUGGACCUUUACUACAGCUUGACACUGCUAUUGGGAUAAAAAUGUGCAGGAUAGGUGGGAGGCUUUGAUCCAUAGACGCCAGUUUAUGGUGAGCCGUUGUUGAGAUACCACUCUUUUUUAUUCUGAUAGCUAACUAGCUUGAGUUAUCCUCAAGUAGGACAAUGUCUGGUGGGUAGUUUGACUGGGGCGGUCGCCUCCCAAAAUGUAACGGAGGCUUACAAAGGUUGGCUCAGAACGGUUGGAAAUCGUUCGCAGAGUAUAAAGGCAAAAGCCAGCUUAACUGCGAGACAUACACGUCAAGCAGGGACGAAAGUCGGUCUUAGUGAUCCGGUGGUUCUGUGUGGAAGGGCCAUCGCUCAAAGGAUAAAAGGUACCCCGGGGAUAACAGGCUGAUCUCCCCCAAGAGCUCACAUCGACGGGGAGGUUUGGCACCUCGAUGUCGGCUCAUCGCAUCCUGGGGCU
rnacentral:rRNA from 1 species